CACAAAUGUAACUUUUUGUUCCAGACAGUAAAAAUAUAACAUCAAUAGAAUGGAAGGAACCCAGUCAUGAUCCAUCUUCACAACAAUGCAUGACAAGGACGCACACUUCAGAGCCCUGCGAGCACUAAGAGGCCUUAAUAGCCAUGAUGGUCCCACCUGGGCACUCCCCGCUCCCUCUGCCUCUCGGCCAGCAGCUGUGUUUGCACCCAGCACCUGCCUGAGGUGUGCCAGACACGCAAUGCUCUUCAGCUCAGCCAGGCCUGGGGCCGGACCAGCACUCACUGCACCGUAG
rnacentral:lncRNA from 1 species